rnacentral:rRNA from 1 species
GCUGGCGGCAGGCCUAACACAUGCAAGUCGAGCGCGAAAGCACUUCGGUGUGAGUAGAGCGGCGGACGGGUGAGUAAUGCUUGGGAAUCUGCCCAGUAGUGGGGGAUAACGUGUGGAAACGCACGCUAAUACCGCAUACGUCCUACGGGAGAAAGCAGGGGAUCUUCGGACCUUGCGCUAUUGGAUGAGCCCAAGUCAGAUUAGCUAGUUGGUGAGGUAAUGGCUCACCAAGGCGACGAUCUGUAGCUGGUCUGAGAGGAUGAUCAGCCACACUGGGACUGAGACACGGCCCAGACUCCUACGGGAGGCAGCAGUGGGGAAUAUUGCACAAUGGGCGAAAGCCUGAUGCAGCCAUGCCGCGUGUGUGAAGAAGGCUCUAGGGUUGUAAAGCACUUUCAGUGGGGAGGAAAAGCUUAAAGCUAAUACCUUUGAGCCUUGACGUUACCUGCAGAAGAAGCACCGGCAAACUCCGUG